CCCGCGGUAACUCAGCCUGGUAGAGUGGCCGGCUGUAGACCGGCAUGUCGGGGGUUCAAAUCCCUCCCGCGGGA
rnacentral:tRNA from 1 species